CUUGCUUUCUUUGCUGGCGACCGGCGCACGGGUGAGUAACACGUAUCCAACCUGCCCUUUACUCGGGGAUAGCCUUUCGAAAGAAAGAUUAAUACCCGAUAGCAUAAUGAUUCCGCAUGGUUUCAUUAUUAAAGGAUUCCGGUAAAGGAUGGGGAUGCGUUCCAUUAGGUUGUUGGUGGGGUAACGGCCCACCAAGCCUUCGAUGGAUAGGGGUUCUGGGAGGAAGGUCCCCCACAUUGGAACUGAGACACGGUCCAA
rnacentral:rRNA from 1 species